rnacentral:rRNA from 1 species
GAUGAACGCUGGCGGCGUGCCUAAUACAUGCGAGUCGAGCGAACGGACGAGAAGCUUGCUUUUCUGAUGUUAGCGGCGGACGGGUGAGUAACACGUGGAUAACCUACCUAUAAGACUGGGAUAACUUCGGGAAACCGGAGCUAAUACCGGAUAAUAUUUUGAACCGCAUGGUUCAAAAGUGAAAGACGGUCUUGCUGUCACUUAUAGAUGGAUCCGCGCUGCAUUAGCUAGUUGGUAAGGUAACGGCUUACCAAGGCAACGAUGCAUAGCCGACCUGAGAGGGUGAUCGGCCACACUGGAACUGAGACACGGUCCAGACUCCUACGGGAGGCAGCAGUAGGAAAUCUUCCGCAAUGGGCGAAAGCCUGACGGAGCAACGCCGCGUGAGUGAUGAAGGUCUUCGGAUCGUAAAACUCUGUUAUUAGGGAAGAACAUAUGUGUAAGUAACUGUGCACAUCUUGACGGUACCUAAUCAGAAAGCCACGGCUAACUACGUG